rnacentral:lncRNA from 12 species
AUGAGGGACAAAGCCAGGAACAAGACCAGGAACAGGACAGCCCCAGUCCUGCUGGCAGCCAAGUCCCACGGUGCCCAUUCCCCAGGAGCACGGGGCAGGAAGGGAUCAGAGCUCUGGCCAGGUCCCUGUGCUGCUGGAGUCUAUAAAGCUAUGAAGAAAACCCUUGAUACUGAAAUUCUUCAGCCUCUUCCUGCACUCGUCCAUCGACGGUGCUUUAACCCAGCACGGGGAGCUCCGUGCAAAAACAAGGAAUUGUGUUGGCCAAAGUGUGAGAUUUGAACUGAAGGGAGGCACUGUUCUAAGGCCAAGGCUGUGGAUGUUGAUAUCAGCAUAUGAUUCCACCACGGAAUUGAUUUAACAAGCUCCAGUUCUACCAGACACCAAUGCCAGUGCUGGAUUCUGGGAUGAGCUGCAUUUUUUGCUUCUGCAUUUCACGCCUAAAACGGGUCCAUUUUGAGUUCCACUGAAAUACUUCAUGUCUUAAAAUACUGCAUUUACUGGAAGCCCUGCAGGUGGUGGAUGAGGUGACAAAGAACAUGUUAGGAGGUGGCUUGAGUCCAUCUCAUGGCUCUUCAUUGAGCAUGUGUUGUUGCCAGGGGUGUUCAUGUGUCUCAAAUAUCGGUUCUGUUUUCCGAUUAACUUCCUUAAUCCUGGGGGUUUUAAGUGCAAAGCCAAUUGUACAGGACAGGUUCGUGUGUAAAUAAGGGGUUGUACUUCCCUGUAUGUCACUAUAAAUAUGUGUGAAGUUUUGUACGUAGGAAAGAAACAACGGCUCAAAGAAUGUUUUCAGAACUGUUCAAAUGCACAGGCAGGAGACUGGCAUCCCUGUGCUCCCUCACUCUGAUCCUGCUGGUUCCACUCACUGCCUGCAUCCCUCUGGGCUCUGUGUGAGGAG